GCUGCAGCACAUACCCGUUUUAAAAGGGAAUCCAACAAGAGCGCGUGUGGCUCGUCGAUGCUGCUGAGAGCGAGCACUCAGUUCAUCACACCCAUUUCAGACCUUGCGUUCCAUAUAUAUGUAUGCUUAGUAGGUGAUCAUCGAUAGGUUGCCGAGGCCAGCUAGCUCUUGCGUUGAUUAGGAAGGAAAACGUAGCUAGCCAGCCAGGUUGAUAUUUAGAGUUGAGAGGGUACAGAAAUACAUACAGAGGCCAGUCCAGACCAUAGCGCUAGCUGGCUGAGACGGCCGAGAGGAACGAAGACGAUCUCGAUCCUGAGCUCUGGGCAUGAUGAAGCUCUUGUUCCAGUGUCCCUGCUGCUCCUGCUUCUGCUUCAUGAAGACGGCCAGCAGCAAGACCCAACACGGCGGCGGCAGCGGCAACAAGGAGGGAGCAGCAGCCCACCACCAGCGCACCGGUAAACUGCAAGGAGUAGUGGUAGGCAAGGCCAUGGAGAUGGUGUAGCUUAUCAUGCAUUUGUGUCCAGUCCAGUAUUCAGCCGCUGCUUAUAUAUAGUAGCUAUUCUUCUUUCGCCACCCCCCACCCCCCCACCCACAGGUACCGGCAGCUUGUUCAUGCUCUCCACACCACAUUAUGAUCACUCAUCUGAUCAUCUUGCAUUGUGCGUGCCUUCGGGACAGGUUCUUUAGUAAUCUUGUGUGCUAGCUGCGUCGUUUCUCCAGCACUGCAGUACCUCCCUGCAGGCUGGCUAGUGAACUACUGCUGUAUUAUUAGGAGUUAGGUUCCUCUUAGACUGAGUGGUACCAUCAGCUGCUACUCCACUCAACGGAAGCAUGCAGCACCGCUUGUCUGCAAUCACCCCCCCCCCCUGUUUUGUUUGUUCUUCUAUUUUCUAUUUUUGGCUCGUCCAGUCUCGCCAUA